CAGUCGAGCGAAUCGAUGGGAGCUUGCUCCCUGAGAUUAGCGGCGGACGGGUGAGUAACACGUGGGCAACCUGCCUAUAAGACUGGGAUAACUUCGGGAAACCGGAGCUAAUACCGGAUACGUUCUUUUCUCGCAUGAGAGAAGAUGGAAAGACGGUUUACGCUGUCACUUAUAGAUGGGCCCGCGGCGCAUUAGCUAGUUGGUGAGGUAAUGGCUCACCAAGGCGACGAUGCGUAGCCGACCUGAGAGGGUGAUCGGCCACACUGGGACUGAGACACGGCCCAGACUCCUACGGGAGGCAGCAGUAGGGAAUCUUCCGCAAUGGACGAAAGUCUGACGGAGCAACGCCGCGUGAACGAAGAAGGCCUUCGGGUCGUAAAGUUCUGUUGUUAGGGAAGAACAAGUACCAGAGUAACUGCUGGUACCUUGACGGUACCUAACCAGAAAGCCACGGCUAACUACGUGCCAGCAGCCGCGGUAAUACGUAGGUGGCAAGCGUUGUCCGGAAUUAUUGGGCGUAAAGCGCGCGCAGGUGGUUCCUUAAGUCUGAUGUGAAAGCCCACGGCUCAACCGUGGAGGGUCAUUGGAAACUGGGGAACUUGAGUGCAGAAGAGGAAAGUGGAAU
rnacentral:rRNA from 1 species